UUCCGCUCUCCCGGCGCGGCCCAGGAGAAAACACCGCGUCCCGCCCCGCUGCUGCCGGGAGGAACAGUGAUGCGGUGGGCUCUGUUUGCACGACUUCGGUGAAAAACUGUCUGUGAUGAAAGUGCAGCCGUGGAGCGGAGCGGCGCGCAGAGCGCUCCGGGGGAAGCUCAGACUGCAGUCCGUGCGCUCUGUGCUGCUGCUGCAAAACCGCCGUGAGCGGCGGCACGAGGGGGGGCACUGACAGCACACCACGGUGACACCGCCCUGUGGGGCGGGGGGGGAUGGGGAUCCAGGGAUAUGGGGUUGGGUUUGGGGUCUGGGAGGUGAUGGGGAUCCAGGGGUAUGGGGUUGGGUUUGGGGUCUGGGAGGUGAUGGGGAUCCAGGGGUAUGGGGUUGGGUUUGGGGUCUGGGAGGUGAUGGGGAUCCAGGGAUAUGGGGUUGGGUUUGGGGUCUGGGAGGUGAUGGGGAUCCAGGGAUAUGGGGUUGGGUUUGGGGUCUGGGAGGUGAUGGGGAUCCAGGGAUAUGGGGUUGGGUUUGGGGUCUGGGAGGUGAUGGGGAUCCAGGGAUAUGGGGUUGGGUUUGGCACUGGGAGGUGAUGGGGAUCCAGGGGUAUGGGGUUGGGUUUGGGGUCUGGGAGGUGAUGCUGAGCUGCGGGUGCUGGGGGAGCAGUCAGCCUCGCAUGGCCGCGUGGUGGGAUCUGUGCCGGAGCCCUAUUUGUAGUACAGCACACAAUGGGUGAUGGGCCGUCGGUGAUGAGCGACGGGAGAUGAGGGGGGGAUGAUGGGUUGUGGGAUGUCA
ensembl:lncRNA